ensembl:snoRNA
GGCCCCUGACAGUGGGCAAAGCAGCGCCUUAUUGAUGGUGGUGGUCUUAUAUCAGUCAGGGGCAGAGAAAAUGGAAGCCCUUUGUUCAUCCUAGCUUGAUGCCUGCUUGGUGGCCAAAGCUGUUUCAUGCCUAGGGCACAAUC